rnacentral:lncRNA from 1 species
CUUUUAUUCCCUGCAUUUAAGGUGGAACACGUUAGUAAUUGUUUGGGAUAAUAAUCUCUCCUUUACUAACUGGGCUCCCGGAACUGGAGCCUGAGAGCUGUGGAAUCUCAGAAUGGAGAGGCUGGCACUUGGAUUUCCCCUGGUUUUCCUUCUCCUGCCCUUCACACCUUCACCUACUCCUUUUCCAGGGAGCAAGAGGGUUUUCAUUCCAGAGAAAGUUGGGAAGAACUGCAGGAGCUGCCUGGAAGCACAGGGAUAUGACUGUCCUGCUUUUUGGACAAAGCCAGGAGUGACCCAGUUGGAGCUCAGUGAGGACCUUGAGCACGAGGUUGGACUUGAAACCUCCCAAGGAUCCUUCUGAACCGGAAUUUCUGUGAUUCCAUGGGAAUUCGGUGUCUUUUGGGGUGUUUGGGAGCACAAGCUGCCUCUCUUUUCCAUGAAAUCUCAUCCACGAGGAAAUCACUCCCACCAGUACAAGGCAGCAGUUGUUCCAUGGGGUUUUCUCUCUUUUCUCAGCACUAAAUAAGGGAUUGAUCCAGCACCACGAUCCUGCAGCCAGAGGUUUGUGGGAGGAAUUUCAGCACCACGUGUGUGAUAUCGACAAUAAUUCCUGUGGCUGUGCAGAGAAUUCCAACUAUCCACGAUGAGCCCAGGAAUGUCACCUGCUCCCAACAGAAACAGGAGAAGAUGCUGGGAAAUUACAGCACAAGUUUAUUUCUUUCCUCUUUCUCCUCUUUUUAUUUUCCCCAAGCUAAAGAAAAACACCCAACAAAAAAAAACCAACUUCUUUUUUUUUCCUCUUCUCACAUCAACAGGAUUUGCCAGUAAUGAGGGAGGAGCAAGAUGUGUCAAAUGCCAUCCCAGAAAGCUGGAGUUGUGUUCCCAUCCCACUGAUGAGUUGGAAUCUGCUCCUUCCCAAAUCUUCAACAUCCCAACGCUGUCCUUAGAAGGACCUGAUUCCACAGCUUCCAGAAAUGGGAAUAACCAGGGCGGCUCCGAGGUUUCACCCAGCUGGAAUUACAACAAAACCCUGGAAAAGCGACCCUCCAAAGAAAUCCCUGAUCUCCUGUGACAGGGACAACCCUCAUUUCCAACCUGUUUCCAAACGCCCUGACAGUGGGCGAGUCGGGAAUGAGGGAAGCAAUAAACUGGCUCCUCGGCCACA